rnacentral:lncRNA from 1 species
ACAAGAGUAGUAGAGCACAAGUCAGGGACAUGCCUGAAGACCUGGGACCGUUCACUCUGCUAUGCAACCAAAUGCAUAAUGCAACCCGCUUCCCAGCUUGUUCAGAGCACUUUCAAGUGACAGAGAAAAUGAUCCCUUUGAGUUUUUCUCAAACCCGUGCUGCUGGCGGCAGUUUAUCUGGUAAAACACCUAAUCAGAGGAGAAAAUGAAUGAGGCUUCCCGCCCGAUGAGCAAGCAAGCGAGUGUCUCCGGUCCGUGCUCCCAGAUCGACUUUCACAUUCAAUUCGUACCUAGUGCUGAUGUUGAUACUGAUGUUAAGAAAUAAUUUCGGGAACACCGGGUGCCUGUCUCAGAUGGGCCUGAACCCCAAAAGCCCAGGGACCUAUUUUCCCCCCUCCAGCACAGCAGCUGGUCCUGAUGGAAGCAGGGCACCGGAUUGUCCACACUGAUGGGGAAGCGUC